GGGGAAUUUUCCGCAAUGGGCGAAAGCCUGACGGAGCAAUACCGCGUGAGGGAGGAAGGCUCUUGGGUUGUAAACCUCUUUUCUCAGGGAAGAACAAAAUGACGGUACCUGAGGAAUAAGCAUCGGCUAACUCCGUGCCAGCAGCCGCGGUAAUACGGAGGAUGCAAGCGUUAUCCGGAAUUAUUGGGCGUAAAGCGUCCGCAGGUGGCAAUUCAAGUCUGCUGUUAAAGGUCAGGGCUCAACCCUGAACAGGCAGUGGAAACUGAAUAGCUAGAGUGCGGUAGGGGCAGAGGGAAUUCCCAGUGUAGCGGUGAAAUGCGUAGAGAUUGGGAAGAACACCGGUGGCGAAAGCGCUCUGCUAGGCCGUAACUGACACUCAUGGACGAAAGCUAGGGGAGCGAAUGGGAUUAGAUACCCCAGUAGUCCUAGCCGUAAACGAUGGAUACUAGGCGUUGCUCGCAUCGACCCGAGCAGUGCCGUAGCUAACGCGUUAAGUAUCCCGCCUGGGGAGUACGCGCGCAAGCGUGAAACUCAAAGGAAUUGACGGGGGCCCGCACAAGCGGUGGAGUAUGUGGUUUAAUUCGAUGCAACGCGAAGAACCUUACCAGGACUUGACAUGUCGCGAAUCUUUGGGAARCUAGAGAGUGCCUUCGGGAGCGCGAACACAGGUGGUGCAUGGCUGUCGUCAGCUCGUGUCGUGAGAUGUUGGGUUAAGUCCCGCAACGAGCGCAACCCUCGUUCUUAGUUGCCAGCAUUAAGUUGGGCACUCUAGGGAGACUGCCGGUGAUAAACCGGAGGAAGGUGGGGAUGACGUCAAGUCAGCAUGCCCCUUACGUCCUGGGCUACACACGUACUACAAUGCUACGGACAAAGGGUCGCAAGCAUGCGAAUGCAAGCAAAUCCCAUAAACCGUGGCUCAGUUCAGAUUGCAGGCUGCAACUCGCCUGCAUGAAGGCGGAAUCGCUAGUAAUCCCAGAUCAGCACGCUGGGGUGAAUACGUUCCCGGGCCUUGUACACACCGCCCGUCACACCAUGGAAGUUGGCCACGCCCGAAGUCGUUACCCUAACCGCAAGGAGGGGGAUGCCGAAGGCAGGGCUGAUGACUGGGGUGAAGUCGUAACAAGGUAGCCGUACCGGAAGGUGUGGCUGGAUCACCUCCU
rnacentral:rRNA from 1 species